rnacentral:lncRNA from 1 species
CAGCUAACUAUGAAACCUUACCAGGGCAAUACAAAAUCAGCCAACAAAUAACACUACACUCUAUUUAAACAAAAAAUACAAUUAAUCUUAUAUCUAUUCAAUCCGUUAUAUAAAACCUUUCAUCAGAUAUUGUAAGAUCAAAAUUGCUAAAAAUACACCCAACAAAAAGGCUUGAAAAUCAAAGAAAUAUAUUCAAUGGAACUUUGCAUAAAUACUCUGGAAAAAUAGCUUAAAUAAACAUGCAACAGCAUAAUGCCUAUUUCUGUCAUACAUAUGGUUUCAGUUACAAAGGCCAGACCUUAAAUGUUAAUUUCAAACAAUACAUGUUAUAAAAAACACCAAAAAAAUUGUAUACAACAAAAAUCACAAGAUCACAAUAAUAUUUACGGUUAUGAAUUUACACUGUUGAUUUAUGCAUAAACUCAAGCUGUGAGCCAAAUUGGCUACUUUGGACUAACUUUUGUUCAUACUAUGUCUAACUGCCUUCAGAUUCUUUUUGUAUACAAAUAUAGUAGAAAAAUUUCAUGAAAAUAAAUUUUGAUCAAUAUCAAUAUUAAAUUUUUUCUCACAAUCAACAUUCAAUUUAAUACCAAACACAUACUUAUCAAGACAGAGCAAAGCAUAAAUAAUUCAAAUAUUAAAAUAAUUCUUUAAAACAGAUUUAGUAAUGUCAGUUUAAUUGACUUCCAUUUUAAACAUUAUAUUAUUAUGUAUUCUAAACAGUAUUGGUGGGGUUUUGUUUUAUUCGAAAUACUGUAGUUAUUUUUAAGUACAAAAAUGUCCAAUGACAUUCAUAUUUGAUUUCAAUAAUGAAUAUGCAACAAAAUUGGGUCAGUUUCACUAUCUUGAGAUGCUUCAAAAGCCUUCCAAAAGUCAGAUAUUUUAAUAUGACUGUUAUAACAAUUAUAAUUUGAUAGCUAGAGUUUUCAAUUACAUAAACAUUUUGGUUGUAGUAAGUUUUGCUGAAAGGCAUAUGGAAGUAGCUGAGUUUGGCUUUUUUAAUGAUAUAAAUAUUUUAACAUUUUUACCUUCAAGAGGUCAAUCACUUUUUUUUUUAGAUAAAUCAAACUCAUAAAACUUACAUUUCAUUUCUGUUCUACCUAAGAUUAUAGAUUUAUUAUAAGUAAAUCAAGUAAUUAUUUUCCAUUUAUAAAAGGGGUCAUGAGAUUUUCAUUCAUUUUAGAUAUAUAGAAUCUCUAUCCACUUAUUCAAUACAUGUAUAUGUAAAGUAAACUCUGCUAUUAACCACACAAUUUUUGUAUCCACCAAUAAAAAACAGUACUUUGUGUGGCAUAACAUUUUCUUUACCAUGUAAAAUAAUAAAUAAAAUUCUGGUUAUAAAUUAACACACACACACAAAUAUGUAGGAAAACAUAACAAUUAG